GGCUGGUCCGCAGGUAGUGAGUUCUUUCAGCUGAUUGUUCACAGUCAGCCAAUUAAUGACAAUUGUUAGCAAUUGAUUACCCUGUUCUCACUACUAUAGUUGACUAGUCUUAA
rnacentral:Y_RNA from 1 species